rnacentral:rRNA from 1 species
CCUACGGGGGGCUGCAGUGAGGAAUAUUGGUCAAUGGGCGCGAGCCUGAACCAGCCAAGUCGCGUGAGGGAUGAAGGUUCUAUGGAUCGUAAACCUCUUUUAUAAGGGAAUAAAGUGUGGGACGUGUCCUAUUUUGUAUGUACCUUAUGAAUAAGGAUCGGCUAACUCCGUGCCAGCAGCCGCGGUAAUACGGAGGUUCCGAGCGUUAUCCGGAUUUAUUGGGUUUAAAGGGUGCGUAGGCGGCCUUUUAAGUCAGCGGUGAAAGUCUGUGGCUCCACCCUAGAAUUGCCGUUGAAACUGGGGGGCUUGUGUAUGUUUGAGCCAGGCGGCAUGCGUGGUGUAGCGGUCAAAUGCUUAGCUAUCACGCAGAACCCCGAUUGCGAAGGCAGCCUGCCAAGCCAUGACUGACGCUGAUGCACGAACGCGUGGGGAUCAAACAGGAUUAGAUACCCGUGUAGUC